CCAAUACCUCCAUUUUAAAACUUUCUAGCUUCUCUCUCUUCUUAACAUUCCUUUGUAAAGAACACCUUUUUGUAUAAAUUUUAUUUGGAAUAAAAAAUCAGAAAAGGUCACUUGGCCACAAUCCGGCAGUCUCAGGUAUUUAAUUUAUUUUGUUUCUCAUAAUUUAGAUAUUCAUUUAGCUUAAAUGAUAGGCUAAAUAGUAUUGUGUUGAACUUAUGCAUACUAGUCUAUUCUUAAUCACAUUUUGUUGCUAGUUUUAUACUGUAUCACCCAUUGGUUCUGAGGUUGAGACCGUAGAGCCCAAACAGUUUAACAGUCCAGGCAGUAAACCUUGGUUAUGACAACAUAACCGGUGGUCCUUAAGACUCGUAUUAGCCAGGUGGGUGUUGAGAGAGUCAUGAGGAGGACUGUGGUUUAAGGUUUGCUUGACAGGACUGUGGCUUGACAUGACUGGUGUCUCAGUAAAAAAAUUAUCCUGUAGUUCCUUUGCAGCUAUCUUGUGUAUUUCAAUCAUUAUAAAUCAUAUUUUUAUCUAUAAAUUAAAAAAAUUUAAGUUAAAUUAUUCCUAAAUAUAAAAAUAUGUUAUUCUUUUUCAUAUUUACUACUAUAAAGGAAGGAGUGUUCAUAAAUUCGGACAAAAAAUACUUAUUUUUCUCGUGUAAUUUUUUUCUUUUACUUUAAGCUAUGUUCACAUUUAGUAUAAGAACUUUUAAUACCAUUAGGUCAUCUUUACCUAGUAUAUAAUUUGUCUUAUUUUUAAUAUUAUAAAUUCUAUAAUUUAAGGAGGCUGCUAAUAAUAUAAAGGGGUAAAAACUUAUAUGCAUUGGAUAUUUAUUACCAAACCAAUAGAUGUAUAGCGUGUUUGCACAUACACCUGUCUCAUUUAAUCAUGAUAUCUAUUUUCACCUCAUUAAAUCAAUUAACGACGAUAAAUUAAAACUCGAUUUUUUAGCAACAUCAACAAAAGAUUUACCACAAAAGACGCUGUACAAUCAUGCCGACAGAUUAUAGUAAUUCUUCCUAAUACUAGUUUGUACGGGUAAAAUUGAGGGCAAAGUUUUUUCCGAUUCCCCGAUGAUUGAACGAAGGGGAAGCACGGAUCGACGUGAUUAUAAUCGAGACCAGAAACCCUUCAUAUCGAGACCCGGAAAAAAUGAACUAUAUAUCUGAGAUCGGACACGAAAAAAUGACGUACUCCGGACCAAGUAUAUAUAGCUUCUGAACCUCGGAAGACGCAGUGAACGGUUAUGCAUGACGGAUAGGGGGCCGCAAUAUUCGCCCUCAGUCAGAUAUUACAGUGGUAAUCUCGUUCAGUAUCUAUAGAUCAACAAUUACCGGGAA
rnacentral:lncRNA from 1 species